AGCAGCCGCGGUAAUUCCAGCUCCAAUAGCGUAUAUUAAAGUUGUUGCAGUUAAAAAGCUCGUAGUUGAAUUUCGGGAUCAGUACGUCGGUCGUGCCUUGGUACGUACUGGCGUCGCUGAUUUCUCCCUUCUGACGAACCGUGAUGCCAUUAAUUUGGUGUUGCGGGGAAUCGGGACUGUUACUUUGAAAAAAUUAGAGUGUUUAAAGCGGGCACGCGCUUGAAUACAUUAGCAUGGAAUAACGAAAUAGGACGUUCGAUCUUAUUUUGUUGGUUUCUAGGAUUGACGUAAUGAUUAAUAGGGAUAGUUGGGGGCAUUAGUAUUCAAUUGUCAGAGGUGAAAUUCUUGGAUUUAUUGAAGACUAACUACUGCGAAAGCAUUUGCCAAGGAUGUUUUCAUUAAUCAAGAACGAAAGUUAGGGGAUCGAAGACGAUCAGAUACCGUCGUAGUCUUAACCAUAAACUAUGCCGACUAGGGAUCGGAUGAUGUUAAUUUUAUAAUGACUCAUUCGGCGCCUUAC
rnacentral:rRNA from 1 species